GAUGAACGCUGGCGGCGUGCCUAAUACAUGCAAGUCGAGCGAACAGAUGAGGAGCUUGCUCCUCUGACGUUAGCGGCGGACGGGUGAGUAACACGUGGAUAACCUACCUAUAAGACUGGGAUAACUUCGGGAAACCGGAGCUAAUACCGGAUAAUAUAUUGAACCGCAUUGUUCAAUAGUGAAAGACGGUUUUGCUGUCACUUAUAGAUGGAUCCGCGCCGCAUUAGCUAGUUGGUAAGGUAACGGCUUACCAAGGCGACGAUGCGUAGCCGACCUGAGAGGGUGAUCGGCCACACUGGAACUGAGACACGGUCCAGACUCCUACGGGAGGCAGCAGUAGGGAAUCUUCCGCAAUGGGCGAAAGCCUGACGGAGCAACGCCGCGUGAGUGAUGAAGGUCUUCGGAUCGUAAAACUCUGUUAUUAGGGAAGAACAAAUGUGUAAGUAACUAUGCACGUCUUGACGGUACCUAAUCAGAAAGCCACGGCUAACUACGUG
rnacentral:rRNA from 1 species